GCGAGUGUAGUAUAACGGCUAUUAUGCUACCUUCCCAAGGUAGAGACGGCGGUCCGACUCCGCUCACUCGCUCCA
rnacentral:tRNA from 1 species